UACGUAGGGGGCAAGCGUUGUCCGGAUUCAUUGGGCGUAAAGAGCGUGUAGGCGGCCAGGUAGGUCGGUUGUGAAAACUGGAGGCUCAACCUUCAGACGUCGACCGAAACCAUCUGGCUAGAGUCCGGGAGAGGAGAGUGGAAUUCCUGGUGUAGCGGUGAAAUGCGCAGAUAUCAGGAAGAGCACCCGUGGCGAAAGCGGCUCUCUGGAACGGUACUGACGCUGAGACGCGAAAGCGUGGGGAGCGAACAGG
rnacentral:rRNA from 1 species